rnacentral:lncRNA from 1 species
UCCGUUAUUGCCGGAUCCGGGAUCCGCACCGGAUCCACGCCGGCAGAUCCACAUCGGCAAAUCUGGAAAAUUUUUCAUUCAUUUUUUAUCUCCUCAUGACAGCCAUGAGCACAAAAUACCACUGGCCUGACUUCAAUUUAUCUUUUCUAUUACUUUCAUAAAAAUUAAGUUGCAAAAAGACCAAGCAUUGUUGCAACCUUUUUUGAUGUUUAAACUUAGCAUGUGUGUUUGAUUGUUUGAUUAGUUUGUAGUGUGUAAUGUUUUAAAAUUUUAUUUAAUUUGUAGUAUUGUGUAGUUUGUAUGCAAUAUUUCAAUUAUUUGUUUAGCAUUUGUGUUGCUUAUAUUUUUUAAUACAUAAUUUGUUUACUAGAAAGUUGAAAGAUGAAUCUAUCACAAGGAGAACCAUCUACCCAGAAAGAAAGAAAAAUUAAAGCUACAUGGGGUGCAUCAUUGCUCAAAUUUUUUUGCGAAAUAUGUCAUGCCCCGCGCCCCGCCUAUUUGAUCGGGUUCGGGCACGUUAACAGACCGCCGAACGGACAGAGUCUCCCCUGUACGUCCAAAGCGUCGCAAUCAAUACGAUACAAGGAAUUCCAACCAGGAACAGUAUUCAUUCAUAAAUUGCAUAAGGAAGUAUCAAAAACAUAAAACUACUAAGUUAUUACAACAUUCAACUUAGAUACAUAUUACAACACAUUUUCUUUUACAUUCAUUUUCCAAAUACAAUCACAAUUAUUACAAUUUAUUACAAGUUUGUACUUUUUGUCUCUAAACCCCUCAAGC